rnacentral:rRNA from 1 species
AUUGAACGCUAGCGGCAGGCUUAAUACAUGCAAGUCGAGGGACAGCACAGGUAGCAAUACUGGGUGGUAACCGGCAAACGGGUGCGGAACACGUACACAACCUUCCUUUAAGUGGGGGAUAGCCCAGAGAAAUUUGGAUUAAUACCCCGUAAUAUAGUUGAAUGGCAUCAUUUGAUUAUUAUAGCUACGGCGCUUAAUGAUGGGUGUGCGGCUGAUUAGAUAGUUGGCGGGGUAACGGCCCACCAAGUCUACGAUCAGUAGCUGAUGUGAGAGCAUGAUCAGCCACACGGUCACUAAGACACGGGCCCGACUCCUACGGGAGGCAGCAGUAAGGAAUAUUGGUCAAUGGACGCAAGUCUGAACCAGCCAUGCCGCGUGAAGGAUUAAGGUCCUCUGGAUUGUAAACUUCUUUUAUUUGGGACGAAAAAGGGCCUUUCUAGGUCAACUGACGGUACCAGAUGAAUAAGCACCGGCUAACUCCGUGCCAGCAGCCGCCGUAA